CAGCCGCCGCGGUAAUACGAAGGGUGCAAGCGUUACUCGGAAUUACUGGGCGUAAAGCGUGCGUAGGUGGUGGUUUAAGUCCGUUGUGAAAUCCCCGGGCUCAACCUGGGAAUGGCAGUGGAUACUGGCUCGCUAGAGUGUGUCAGAGGAUGGUGGAAUUCCCGGUGUAGCGGUGAAAUGCGUAGAGAUCGGGGGGAACAUCAGUGGCGAAGGCGGCCAUCUGGGACAACACUGACGCUGAGGCACGAAAGCGUGGGGAGCAAACAGGAUUAGAUACCCCCGUAGUCCCUGUCUCUUAUAC
rnacentral:rRNA from 1 species